rnacentral:rRNA from 1 species
CGCAUCUGUGCAUGCAGCAUAUCAAUAAGCGGAGGAAAAGAAACUAACAAGGAUUCCCCUAGUAACGGCGAGUGAAGCGGGAAGAGCUCAAAUUUGAAAUCUUAAAGGGUUUCCCUUUACGAAUUGUAGUUUAAAGAAGUGUUUUUCUGUUGAGGUUUUGGUAAAAGUUCUUUGGAAUAGGACAUCAUAGAGGGUGAGGAUCCCGUAUUUGACCUUUACUUUCAACUUUGUGAUACACUUUCAAAGAGUCGGAUUGUUUGGGAAUGCAGCUCUAAAGUGGGUGGUAAAUUUCAUCUAAAGCUAAAUAUUGGCGAGAGACCGAUAGCGAACAAGUACCGUGAGGGAAGGAUGAAAAGAACUUUGAAAAGAGAGUUAAACAGUACGUGAAAUUGUCAAAAGGGAAGCGUUUGACACCAGUGUUGUUUUUCUGAAAAUCAAUUAAAGAACUGUUUAUGCUAAGUUGUUUAGACUUUAUCAGCUAACUGUUUAGUUUUGAGCUUUUCUUUAAUGCACUUUUCAGUUAACAAGUCAACAUCAAUUUCUUUUGCUGUAAAAAAGCUUGAGGAAGGUGGCUUGAGAUUCGUCUUAAGUGUUUAUAGCCUCUUGCCUAUGCAGUCGGAGAGAUUGAGGUCUGCAGCGUAGAUCCUUCGGGGCUAAAUGCAUCUGUGCUAAGUUAUAGCAUUUUAUAGACAACUUGUUGACUAUGAUUUGUCUUGUAGCUUACUCGCUUAUGUUAUUUUACCUACGCUUAGGAUGUUGACGAGACUGUCGAUCUC